rnacentral:rRNA from 1 species
GCGCCCCUACGGGGGGCAGCAGUGGGGAAUAUUGGACAAUGGGGGGAACCCUGAUCCAGCGACGCCGCGUGAGUGAAGAAGUAUUUCGGUAUGUAAAGCUCUAUCAGCAGGGAAGAAAGAAAUGACGGUACCUGACUAAGAAGCCCCGGCUAACUACGUGCCAGCAGCCGCGGUAAUACGUAGGGGGCAAGCGUUAUCCGGAUUUACUGGGUGUAAAGGGAGCGUAGACGGCAGUGCAAGUCUGAAGUGAAAGGCGGGGGCCCAACCCCCGGACUGCUUUGGCAACCGUGCUGCUGG